GGGGUCUGGAGCUGGCAUGUCAGUUACUGCUAGUAGUUCUUUGUUAAUUUAUGAAUCAUAUUCAUUUUGUGUUAGUUUCUUUUGUUUACUAUUUUGUCAUCGGACUCGGAUUUCUUUUAAACUGAGUUUUUCUGUGCAUAUUGUUGUGUGUUUGUUUAUUCUACAUGAGCUAGAUAUAGUUGUAUAGCGGGAGGGUUGAGAUCUCACAAAGCAUGUUUAGCCCCGCCGUAUUUUUGCGCCUGUCCCAAGACAGGAGACUCUGAUCUUUGUUAGUUUUUUUUAUGUUUUUUUUUUAUCUAAGUUAAG
rnacentral:lncRNA from 1 species